rnacentral:rRNA from 1 species
GGGUGGCCAAAUUGCGGUCCUUGUCCAUUGUGCAAGGGCGUGCAGGAAUGCGGGCCACAUCUCCUCUUGAAGUGCCGCUACUCUCUGAGGCUCUGGAGGUUGGUCAUUCAGAGAUUUGGCAUUGACGACAUGGACACGACCUCAUGGCACUUGAUGGACUCUGUUGAGAGCUGGUGGGUGAGUACAUGCGACGUCGGCACUACGGAUAGGAAGGCCAAGGCGUCGAUUACCAUGCUCGUGUCAUGGGUAAUCUAGAACGAGAGAAACGCAAGAGUAUUUCGGCACAAGAGCGCUCCUCCACCAAUUCUGCUCAACUCCAUUGUGGCCGAGGCAAGCCUUUGGGUCACCGCCGGGGCAAAGAAAUUAGGGUCUUUUAUUUUGCGAGAGUAA